rnacentral:rRNA from 1 species
CCUACGGGAGGCAGCAGUGGGGAAUAUUGGACAAUGGGCGAAAGCCUGAUCCAGCCAUGCCGCGUGUGUGAAGAAGGUCUUCGGAUUGUAAAGCACUUUAAGUUGGGAGGAAGGGCAGUAAGUUAAUACCUUGCUGUUUUGACGUUACCAACAGAAUAAGCACCGGCUAACUUCGUGCCAGCAGCCGCGGUAAUACGAAGGGUGCAAGCGUUAAUCGGAAUUACUGGGCGUAAAGCGCGCGUAGGUGGUUCAGCAAGUUGGAUGUGAAAUCCCCGGGCUCAACCUGGGAACUGCAUCCAAAACUACUGAGCUAGAGUACGGUAGAGGGUGGUGGAAUUUCCUGUGUAGCGGUGAAAUGCGUAGAUAUAGGAAGGAACACCAGUGGCGAAGGCGACCACCUGGACUGAUACUGACACUGAGUGCGAAAG